rnacentral:tRNA from 1 species
AGUGGAUAGUUUAGAAUUCUCGAACAUUUCGGUCAUACUCUCAAUAUAUCUCUCGUCGCCCUUACAAGGCGGAGGUCCCCGGUUCGAAUCCGGGCGAGCCCACUACCA